UGCUUAUUUUGCCCAGGCGGAGCUCGACCGCCCACUGAAGCGAUGGUUACCUUCAUCGAUGAACAUCGUUCCGUACUUGGGCCAAUGUCGGAUAUUGGGCCGAUCUGCAGGCUUCUGCCGAUUGCCCCA
rfam:Martelella endophytica strain YC6887, complete genome.